GAUGAACGCUAGCGGCAGGCUUAAUACAUGCAAGUCGAGGGGUAGCAAGAUUGUAGCAAUACAAUUGUUGACGACCGGCAAACGGGUGCGGAACACGUACACAACCUUCCUACAAGUGGGGAAUAGCCCAGAGAAAUUUGGAUUAAUACCCCGUAACAUAGCGAUGUGGCAUCACAUUGCUAUUUUAGCUUCGGCGCUUGUUGAUGGGUGUGCGGCUGAUUAGAUAGUUGGCGGGGUAACGGCCCACCAAGUCUACGAUCAGUAGCUGAUGUGAAGGCAUGAUCAGCCACACGGGCACUGAGACACGGGACCGACUCCUACGGGAGGCAGCAGUAAGGAAUAUUGGACAAUGGACGCAAGUCUGAUCCAGCCAUGCCGCGUGAAGGAUUAAGGUCCUCUGGAUUGUAAACUUCUUUUAUAAGGGACGAAAAAAGGUCUUUCUAGAUCGUCUGACGGUACCUUAUGAAUAAGCACCGGCUAACUCCGUGCCAGCCGCCGCUGUAACAC
rnacentral:rRNA from 1 species